rnacentral:rRNA from 1 species
CUACGGGGGGCUGCAGUGGGGAAUAUUGCACAAUGGGCGCAAGCCUGAUGCAGCCAUGCCGCGUGUAUGAAGAAGGCCUUCGGGUUGUAAAGUACUUUCAGCGGGGAGGAAGGGAGUAAAGUUAAUACCUUUGCUCAUUGACGUUACCCGCAGAAGAAGCACCGGCUAACUCCGUGCCAGCAGCCGCGGUAAUACGGAGGGUGCAAGCGUUAAUUGGAAUUACUGGGCGUAAAGCGCACGCAGGCGGUUUGUUAAGUCAGAUGUGAAAUCCCCGGGCUCAACCUGGGAACUGCAUCUGAUACUGGCAAGCUUGAGUCUCGUAGAGGGGGGUAGAAUUCCAGGUGUAGCGGUGAAAUGCGUAGAGAUCUGGAGGAAUACCGGUGGCGAAGGCGGCCCCCUGGACGAAGACUGACGCUCAGGUGCGAAAGCGUGGGGAGCAAACAGGAUUAGAUACCCGUGUAGUC